rnacentral:sRNA from 1 species
UUCUAAACCUAAGGGACAGACGUGGCAGCCCCCGAUUCUUUAUCGGGGCUAUAACAAAUGGCGGGGCUGCUG